AAGAAACAAAAAGAAUAAAAAGAAGGAAAGAAACAGAAUAGCAGGGGACGAAAUAGAGAAGGGAGAAAGGAAGAAAAGAAAAAGGGAAAAAUAAGGUUUUAAAGGUUCCAAGUUAAUUUGCUAACAAGGAAAACGAGGCAUCGGCAUCUAAAGGAAAAGAAAAGAUCGUUGAGGAGUUAGCUCGAGAAAAUAUGGUUAAGUAAAGAUAGAAUGUUGAAUCAGCAUCUCAGGCCGAUCCCAAAUUCAAUGAGGUAAAGUGUGUUAAUUAUGGGUAAUGGUAUGUACCUAGGAUGCCUUGUGUGUGUGUCAUUUUGAAAUUGUAAAUGUAAGGAUGAAAUAAAUAAAUUUAGGUUUGGUUAUGGUAUAAAAUAGGAUUUGACUAAUUUGGUAUGAAUUUGAAUUUUUGUGAGACAAUAUCAGAUUGAUUUUGGAAUUCCCUAUUCUGUAUUGGAAAAAUCAUUAAAAAUUGUAUAAAAAUAA